AUACUUUCUUGACAGGGGAGACACCAUGAUCAUGAAGGUGGUUUUCUCAGGGCGAGGCUCAGGCAUUGCACUCCGGCUGUGCUGAUUCUCUGCCUUUUGGCUAAGAUCAAGUGUAGUAUCUGUUCUUAUCAGUUGUCAGAGGAGCGCUGAAGCAUC